rnacentral:tRNA from 3 species
ACUUGAAUAGCUUAAAAUUAAAGCUUAGUAUUGAAGAUACUACUAUAAGUAUAUAUUACUUUUCAAGUG